rnacentral:rRNA from 1 species
UACGUAGGGACCAAGCGUUGUUCGGAUUUACUGGGCGUAAAGGGCGCGUAGGCGGCGCGGUAAGUCACUUGUGAAAUCUCUGAGCUUAACUCAGAACGGCCAAGUGAUACUGCAGUGCUAGAGUGUGGAAGGGGCAAUCGGAAUUCCUGGUGUAGCGGUGAAAUGCGCAGAUAAUCAGGAGGAACACCAGCGGCGAAGGCGGCGCUCUGGGCCGGAACUGACGCUGAGGAGCGAAAGCGUGGGUAGCAAACAGG